rnacentral:rRNA from 1 species
AUUGAACGCUGGCGGCAGGCCUAACACAUGCAAGUCGAACGAGUGGCGGACGGGUGAGUAAUGUCUGGUAAACUGCCUGAUGGAAGGGGAUAACCACUGGAAAAGGUAGCUAAUAACGCAUACCAUCCGAUGUACCCAGAGGGGAUUAGCUAGUUGGUGGGGUAACGGCUCACCAAGGCGACGAGCCCUAGCUGGUCUGAGAGGAUGACCAGCCAGCCGGGAACUGAGAAACGGUCCAGAGUCGUAGGGGAGCAAGCAGUGGGGAAUAUUGGACAAUGGGGGAAAGCCUGAGGAAGCAAUGCGGCGGGUAUGAAGAAGGCCUCCGGGUUGUAAAGUACUUUCAGCGGGGAGGCGUUACCCGCAGAAGAAGCACCGGCUAACUCCGUGCCAGCAGCCGCGGUAAUAC